rnacentral:siRNA from 1 species
GGUGUACUGCACAUGCUCCAUGA